rnacentral:rRNA from 1 species
GACGAACGCUGGCGGCGUGCUUAACACAUGCAAGUCGUACGGUAAGGCCCUUUCGGGGGUACACGAGUGGCGAACGGGUGAGUAACACGUGAGUAACCUGCCCACAACUUUGGGAUAACGCUAGGAAACUGGUGCUAAUACUGGAUAUGUGCUCCUGCUGCAUGGUGGGGGUUGGAAAGCUCCGGCGGUUGUGGAUGGACUCGCGGCCUAUCAGCUUGUUGGUGGGGUGGUGGCCUACCAAGGCGGCGACGGGUAGCCGGACUGAGAGGGUGACCGGCCACAUUGGGACUGAGGUACGGCCCAGACUCCUACGGGAGGCAGCAGGGGGGAAUAUUGCACAAUGGGCGCAAGCCUGAUGCAGAAGCGCCGCGUGCGGGAUGACGGCCUUCGGGUUGUAAACCGCUUUCAGCAGGGACGAAGCUUUUUGUGACGGUACCUGCAGAAGAAGCACCGGCUAACUACGUG